UACGUAGGGGGCAAGCGUUGUCCGGAUUUAUUGGGCGUAAAGAGCGUGUAGGCGGUUUGGUAGGUCCGUUGUGAAAACUCGAGGCUCAACCUCGAGACGCCGAUGGAAACCAUCAGACUAGAGUCCGGAAGAGGAGAGUGGAAUUCCUGGUGUAGCGGUGAAAUGCGCAGAUAUCAGGAGGAACACCAAUGGCGAAGGCAGAUCUCUGGGCCGUAACUGACGCUGAGGAGCGAAAGCGUGGGGAGCGAACAGG
rnacentral:rRNA from 1 species